CACCCAGUACUGGGAUGCCUGGAACCUGUGUGACGAGGUGAUCGACUGGGGAGACGGUGUGGAGGAGUGCUCACGAGCGACACCCCCACUGUCCAGGUUGGGGGGGAUAAGGAGGGAUUGGGAAGGGCUACUUGGGAAAAUGUGGAGGUAUCAGAAAGGGGCCUCCAAUGGUGAGAUGGAGGGGGCGGAGGCUGGUAUGAAUGGAAUGCAUAUGGUAAAUGGAGGUGAGGAGAAUGGAUGUGAGGUAGGAGUGAAUGUGGAGGAGGUUAAGGGAGAAGGAGAGAAAAGUAGAGGGAAUGCUUUGGGAUCUAUUGUGUCUCAAGGAGGCAGAUCAUGGCUGGAAACCAUUCAGGAAGAAGGAUGUGAGGAAGAAGAAGAAACUGAGGUGGCGUUUCAGGAGGCACAAGACGCUGAGGUUGCCCAGUUGGACAGAUGGUGUCCAUGUGGCUGGUGUAAGGUGGGGUAGGAGGCUUCUGAACCAUGUGUUAGGCCUAGUGCACUUAUGGAUUGUGCUUGUUUGUUAUAAUGAAAUAAGCUUAUAAACUAAACAUAAUAUAUUUUAAAGGUACGUGUUUAUAUCAGUGUAAAAAGGGAAGGGGUUUCUCUAUGACUUGGGUUGGUAGUAGCAUUUGGGGGGUCAAGGAGUCCGAUGUUAGUGGUUUAUGGUAGUGUAUUGUGUGUUGAAGUUUAUUGAAUUGGCGGACUACACAUCCCAUCAUCCCCUGCGCACCACAAAAUAAUAGUCCAUGCUUAGUGUGCUGUUUGGUUUAUUUCUUUCUUUAUUCAAGGCAAUAACUUAGAGCUGUGAGGUACCCACUGUUCUAGUUUUAUCCAUCGGCCAUGGUAAAGGGAGAACUUGGGUAAAUCAGCAGAAGUCUCUCACCAACUUCCACCCCGGUUGCUGUUUCCUCUGGUCCCUCGGCAUAUGGGUUCCCUGCGGAAGCGCGCGCCGUCUGGGGAAGGUUCCCUUAUAGCCCAGGGUGGAACAGGGGAAGGUGAAGGUUUGGCACAAAAGGGGGGGGGGGAAAUAGGUGAGAAAGGUUGUUUGUUCUUGCUUUUGUUGUGUGAGGUGGGAUGUUCUGUGUGAAAGAGCAGGGGACGGUAAUGCUUAAGGGCCAGCUAUUAUGAUGUGUUCCAUGUUAAAUGUAUGUGUUGUAAUAUAUGUUGUUAGUACAUGAAACUCCAACUGGUUUCCCCUUGUCGUUGGGCUGUCCCAAUUAGUUUAAUGGGAAGCCGUAUAUAAGGGCAGGGGAUUAGAGUAAAAAGGGUGGUUGGUGGUCUUUCUUUUGGUCUAAUUGUUGUUUGUUUUUUAUUUAUUUAUUUAUUUUUUUGUUGUUUUUGUCAUGCUGUGGCCUGUGUGGAUUAUAGGCAUGUCAAGGCCAAGAGAGAGGGGUAACAGCUUGAGGUGAGGCUGGAAAGGCCCCAUGAAAUAAAGCUACCUUUGUUCUGAGGCCUACUGCGUUUGUGCCUGGUUUCUCCCCACUCGCAUGCGGGGUUGUUUGCAUUCCCUCAACUCAAUAAGGCAGGGCCUGUCCAGCUCUUGCCUUUUUCACAUUCAGUAUCUACAUGUAAAGGGAGCAGACACAGGAAAAAGGUAUUGAAGACCCUUGAUAUGAUAUUGCUGUUUUUGUUUUAGAUUCCAAAGUUAACCCUUUAAUUUAUCCCUUUUCCCCAAGUAAAACGCUGCAUUUACUUUACAUUUUGCUUUGGAGUCGGAAGUUCCAAAAUCACCAGGAGAGCUCCUCAGGCAUCUCCAGCCUGCAAUUCCUGGGAAAUGCCACCUGCCACCCAUCCUUGGAAGCGUCGCCCAUUCUCAGGAUCUCAUACGUCACCAUUCAUCACAGAGUCACAGCGCUUGCAGACAUCUGGAUAAAAGGAAAAGCCCAUUUUUUUAAAACUUACACGUUAAAUUUUCCUCUAAUUACCAUUUUAUUCUUUUAAAUUUCAUUAUGUUUAAUUACAUUUAGUAUGGAUUAAGGCAUCACCAGCCUGGCAUCAGACUCUCCGGACAAUGCCAGCCCAGAGGGGGCUGACCUGGAGGACAUUCCCCCGGAGGACAUGGAGUGGGAGCCUCCAGGUCUUGACCUGAGUCCCACUCCGUGGUGUCAGCCCCGUGGCCAAAGUUUCCCCAGCCGAGGAGGCUAUCGCCGCGACAACGGCAGGGUCAACAGAAAUCCAGUCGUGGGCUCAGCUCCGGGAGGAAAAAACGAGGGUAUGCUACCCAGACCUGCCUCCUGAUCCAGGCUUGGUCCAAGAUGGUCUUUCAGGGGUCCCUGGUUUGGUCCAGUUCCUGUCCUGCCUGCCCCUCGACACCCUCCGACUCUGCCAACCCCUCGCCGUCUACCGAUGCUGUUCUUCCCUCGGCUGCCGCAGACGAGUACAGCUUCUACAGACCCAGACAGGAUUCCAAAGGCCCCCCUGGCCGUGACCCUUCUGCGGCACCCCGGAGCCCAUCAGAGGCCCUGAACUGUUCACUUUACCUCCCAUGCUACCUAGUGUCUUGCCCCUCCUAAUACCUCAGUCUUUGGUCUGUAGUCUUGCUUCCCCGUGGCUCUCCCUGGUUUCACCUCUUAGCCCGAUUUCACUGUUCCAGCCCCCACUCCAGUCACUCUUGCUUCCCGCUUUAGGUUCCCCUCUCCUGGCCAUAUUAUUGUUGCACUGGUUCCAUUACUUGCCUGUCUUGUCUGGUUGUGUCCUGCCUUGUCUGUCCCUGUGCCGUCUUUGGUCCUUUUGAUGCCCAAUCCCUCCCUUUUGUCUCCUUCUUCUGUUUCCUUUGUUCCCACUUACCCACUGACACCCACUGUCUGUCUUUUGGUCCAUAGUCAGCAUCCCUGUUGGAUUACCUGGCCUGUCAUGAGUUGUGUCCUGGGGGUUAGUCUCCCCUGUUGUCCUUGGUUUUGCCCUGGUCUGUGUGUCCCCUUAAU